rnacentral:misc_RNA from 1 species
AACGGUCUAUACCUGCGGUACCUGCGGAAGGAUCAUUAAAGAGUGAUGCCACCCUUCAAAGGGCUGGUAGUAAACUCCAACCCCCUAUGUUUUUAUUUACCUUUUUGUUGCUUAGGCGGUUCGUAAAGCUUUUUUUUUUUUUAAAAAAAAAUGGCUUUCCAUUGGCUUUUUUCUUAGGCUGAUGAGUUUUAACCGCCAAAGGACUUAAAAACUCUUUGAAAUUUAUUGUCUGAGAUUUUU